rnacentral:rRNA from 1 species
CGAACGGGUGAGUAACACGUGGGCAACCUGCCCAAAANAGGGGAUAACACUUGGAAACAGGUGCUAAUACCGCAUAACCAUAGUUACCGCAUGGUAGCUAUGUAAAAGGUGGCUAUGCUACCGCUUUUGGAUGGGCCCGCGGCGCAUUAGCUAGUUGGUGGGGUAAAGGCUUACCAAGGCAAUGAUGCGUAGCCGAACUGAGAGGUUGAUCGGCCACAUUGGGACUGAGACACGGCCCAAACUCCUACGGAAGGCAGCAG